GACGAACGCUGGCGGCGUGCUUAACACAUGCAAGUCGAACGGAAAGGCCCUGCUUUUGUGGGGUGCUCGAGUGGCGAACGGGUGAGUAACACGUGAGUAACCUGCCCUUGACUUUGGGAUAACUUCAGGAAACUGGGGCUAAUACCGGAUAGGAGCUCCUGCUGCAUGGUGGGGGUUGGAAAGUUUCGGCGGUUGGGGAUGGACUCGCGGCUUAUCAGCUUGUUGGUGGGGUAGUGGCUUACCAAGGCUUUGACGGGUAGCCGGCCUGAGAGGGUGACCGGCCACAUUGGGACUGAGAUACGGACCAGACUCCUACGGGAGGCAGCAGUGGGAAAUAUUGCACAGUGGGCGGAAGCCUGAUGCAGCAACGCCGCGUGCGGGAUGACGGCCUUCGGGUUGUAAACCGCUUUCGCCUGUGACGAAGCGUGAGUGACGGUAAUGGGUAAAGAAGCACCGGCUAACUACGUG
rnacentral:rRNA from 1 species